GUCCUCAGUUCCCUUUAUUCAUUUUCCAUCAUUUUCCCUGGAAAUACUUAAUAAUAGGUGAAGGACACAGGACUAAGAAUAUGAAAUGCCAACUAAAACAGUUCAAUACUGAUAACAAAAUUCUUUUACUGACUCUUAUUAAACCAUUCAUCAGAAUUUUGGUCAUUGCUAAACUUUUUGUUUCCACAUGUAUUUGAUUACUUGAAAAGGUAGGUAAGACAAUAUGUAACAUUUUCUUUUUUUUCCCCAAAAACUCAAAAUCCUUUCUCUUUGCUGACAUUAUUUCCUUUCUUCUAGGUAGCUAAAUUGAAUGAUUAUUUUUUCAUGUUCUUUGUAGGGUAUAAUGUGUGUUCCAUUUUUGACACAAAGUAUGUGAGAGCAGAUAAAAGAUGAUUUAAAAAUUAACUUGCAUUGGACUGGGGAGGUAGCUCAGUGGGAUUGUACUUGCCUACCCAUGUGAGGCCUGGGUUUUGUUUUCAAGCACUGUAAAACAGAACAGAACAGAACAAAACACAACAAAAAACUUACCUCUUUUUAUUAAAGAAAAACUAAAAUUACUACCUUCCACAAAUUCUUCUUAGCUUUAGAUAAAUUUUCCUAUUUUUAACUUUACUAAAUAAUCCAUGGAGAUAGAAAUGAUAAAUGUAUUCCCAACUUUACAUGUAAGAAAGCCUAAACGGUACAGAGGCUGUGAUUCAAUGGUAAAGCAAUUACCUAGCUUAUAUGAGGCACUGGAUUUGAGUCUCAGCACCACAUAUAAAUUAAUAAAUAAAUGAAGGUCC
rnacentral:lncRNA from 1 species